AACUCUCGUUGUAAGCCUUGGUGAAUUAUCGUGCUUUAAAAGGUAUCAUUCGCUCAAUUAUGGCAGAAAAUCAACUGUCCGAUUUCCAAACAAAAAAAGUUCUUCGAGUCUUCAAUAUUCUUUAUGAUAGAAAUGAUGACGGUGUCAUUGCUAAAGACGACUUCCUCAUAGCCAUAGACAAGUUCGUCAGUGUCCUUGGCUGGCCCAAGGACGGGGACCAGUAUAAUAAGGGCAAGGACACACUGUUACUCAUCUGGGACGACCUGAAGAAGUACGCAGACGAAAACCAGGUCAGAGUUCACAAAGAUCGCCCUAAUUACCGAAACUAGUUUUAAAAAUCCUAUGGGAUUUUUGAUAAAAUGUUUCAAUUCCUUUGGGUCCUGAUGGAAAAUUCUAGAUCUCUAAAUCCCCCGUCUUUCAUGUACAUGUAAGAACUGCUUUUUAUAUCGGUACACAUACAUACUCUACACAAAGAAAUAUUCAUCCCUAUUUUUUUUUUCGCUCUUUUCGCCCUCGUUAUCAGCAGAUGAUUUUAAGACUGGGCGAAUUCCAAAGUCUCAAAUUAUCUCUUUUUAAACACAACUUUCUAUGGGCGUAUUCAAGACGGAGCGAACCCGUUUCCAAGUGACGAAAGGCAAAAAUACAUGUAACAUGGGGAAAAUUAACCCUGUAUACAGUAUUUCUUUUUACCUAUUGGUUAUUUUUGAUGUUACAGGAUGACAAAGUCUCCAAGGACGAGUGGGUCCAGAUGUGGAGUGACUGUCUGCAGUCGGUAAAACACGGCAAACCUUUCCCCGAGUGGCAGCAGAGGUUCAUGCAGUUCAUGUUCGAAGUCAAUGACAAAUCAGGUGAUAACGAGAUUGACAUAGACGAGUACACCACGGUCUGGAACAAGUCGUACGGGAUCCCAGUCGAGGAGUGUAGGGAGGCCUUCCAUAAAAUCUCUGACGGUAAAAACAUUACGAGAGAAGUGUUUGAAAUGCUAUGGAUAGAAUAUUUUGUUUCUAACGAGAGAGCCGCCCGGGGAAACUACUUGUUCGGAAUUCCGGAUUUUAUCUGAAAAUUGUUUAAUUUAGAUCAAGAGUUUCUCCCCUUUGGUUACCGAGAGAGAUCUGACAAAGUUUCUCCUAGAGUUAUCGUUCUUUACAAAUCGAAAGCCGCAUCUUUAUGUAUUAAUUUUAAGCUUAUUGACAUAUCUUCAUUAGUUUUAAUAAUUCUGAAUUGGUUGUGAACUUAAAUGAGAAAAAUAUAUAUAUAUUAUGCAGCUACAAAUUGAACAAGCUUUAGUCUCAAUGUGCAUUUUGAAAUAGUCUGCAUUACAUAUUUUAUAAUAUAUUGCCGAGAAUGAAUAUAUAGAUUAACCCGCCUGUAAAAAGUAUAAAUGUAUUAAUAUAAUUAUAAUGAAAAUGAUUUAUAAACGGUUUUUAUGUAUAAUUUAAAUGUAAAAUUAACUAAUGAUAUUUUUUGCUAUUAAGCUAAGUUGAUAUUUGCAUAAGUUUGGACUGAAUAUCUAACUCAAUGUGAGUCGAUCUAUAUUGACUGUUUUAAGAAUGGUGGAUGGGUAUUUAAAAGAUUUAGUUUAAAAAAAAAGAAGGGGCGUCAACUCUUGGAAAGGACCGUGAAGUUUUAUGUGUUAUAAAUUCGUUGUAAGAGAAUAUUUCGGUGUAUUUAGGUCUUUUUACUUUUAUACGUUUGGUAAAUUUGUGACGGUAUGUUGUAGAAAUGUAAUUAGAAUAAAUCUUGAAAUAUAG
rnacentral:misc_RNA from 1 species